rnacentral:rRNA from 1 species
AAACUUGAGAGUUUGAUCAUGGCUCAGAACGUACGCUGGCGGCACGCCUAACACAUGCAAGUCGAACGAAGUAGCAAUACUUAGUGGCAGACGGGUGAGUAACAUGUGGGUAUCUGCCCUUUGGCCUGGAAUAACACGAGGAAACUUGUGCUAAUACCGGAUAAGUCUUUACGGAGAAAGCUUUAUGCACCAUUGGAUGAGCCUGCACUUGAUUAGUUUGUUGGUGGGGUAAUGGCCUACCAAGACUGUGAUCAAUAGCUGAUUUGAGAGGAUGAUCAGCCACAUUGGGACUGAGACACGGCCCAAACUCCUACGGGAGGCAGCAGUGGGGAAUCUUGCACAAUGGAGGAAACUCUGAUGCAGCGAUGCCGCGUGAGUGAAGAAGGCCUUUGGGUUGUAAAGCUCUUUCGUCGGGGAAGAAAAUGACUGUACCCGAAUAAGAAGGUCCGGCUAACUUCGUGCCAGCAGCCGCGGUAAUACGAAGGGACCUAGCGUAGUUCGGAAUUACUGGGCUUAAAGAGUUCGUAGGUGGUUGAAAAAGUUAGUGGUGAAAUCCCAGAGCUUAACUCUGGAACUGCCAUUAAAACUUUUCAGCUAGAGUAUGAUAGAGGAAAGCAGAAUUUCUAGUGUAGAGGUGAAAUUCGUAGAUAUUAGAAAGAAUACCAAAUGCGAAGGCAGCUUUCUGGAUCAUUACUGACACUGAGGAACGAAAGCAUGGGUAGCGAAGAGGAUUAGAUACCCUCGUAGUCCAUGCCGUAAACGAUGUGUGUUAGACGUUGGAAAUUUAUUUUCAGUGUCGCAGGGAAACCGAUAAACACACCGCCUGGGGAGUACGACCGCAAGGUUAAAACUCAAAUGAAUUGACGGGGACCCGCACAAGUAGUGGAGCAUGUGGUUUAAUUCGAAGAUACGCGCAGAACCUUACCAACACUUGACAUGUUCGUCGCGACUCUAAGAGAUUAGAGUUUUCGGUUCGGCCGGACGAAACACAGGUGCUGCAUGGCUGUCGUCAGCUCGUGUCGUGAGAUGUUGGGUUAAGUCCCGCAACGAGCGCAACCCUCACUUUUAGUUGCCAUCAUUAAGUUGGGCACUCUGAAAGAACUGCCAGUGAUAAGCUGGAGGAAGGUGGGGAUGACGUCAAGUCCUCAUGGCCCUUACGUGUUGGGCUACACACGUGCUACAAUGGUAUCUACAACAGGAAGCAAGACUGCGAAGUUAAGCAAAUCCCUAAAAGAUACCUCAGUUCGGAUUGCACUCUGCAACUCGAGUGCAUGAAGCUGGAAUUACUAGUAAUCGUGGAUCAGCGUGCCACGGUGAAUGCGUUCCCGGGUCUUGUACACACCGCCCGUCACACCAUGGGAGUUGGUUCUACCUUAAGGCAAGGUUUCAAACCCUUGACCACGGUAUAGUCAGCGACUGGGGUGAAGUCGUAACAAGGUAGCCGUAGGGGAACCUGCGGCUGGAUUACCUCCUUU